UGGGGAAUAUUGCACAAUGGGGGGAACCCUGAUGCAGCGACGCCGCGUGAAGGAAGAAGUAUUUCGGUAUGUAAACUUCUAUCAGCAGGGAAGAAAAUGACGGUACCUGACUAAGAAGCCCCGGCUAACUACGUGCCAGCAGCCGCGGUAAUACGUAGGGGGCAAGCGUUAUCCGGAUUUACUGGGUGUAAAGGGAGCGUAGGCGGUUUGACAAGUCAGAAGUGAAAGCCCGGGGCUCAACUCCGGGACUGCUUUUGAAACUGCCGGACUAGAUUGCAGGAGAGGCAAGUGGAAUUCCUAGUGUAGCGGUGAAAUGCGUAGAUAUUAGGAGGAACACCAGUGGCGAAGGCGGCUUGCUGGACUGUAAAUGACGCUGAGGCUCGAAAGCGUGGGGAGCAAACAGG
rnacentral:rRNA from 1 species